rnacentral:lncRNA from 1 species
UCAUCUUCUAUCUUGUGCCUGUACGGAUCGUAACCUCCAUGGCCAUGGCGUUCACUGUGUACGUGAGUGGUAGGAGGCUCGCCUUGCCUCCUGGCCAUGGAAAGACGCCAAGGUGGGAGCUCACCAGCUGACCAAGAGGCCCAAGGUGACCAGUGAUGCGCAGCCCCGCACAUGGGGCACGAUGAGGCCACGUCGGAGCAGCUGGCCGGAGAUAGCCUUGCCGGCCAGACUGGGACCAGUAGCGCAAGGGGUCACGAGACUUAAGUUGGGGCGCACGUCCCAAGGGUGGCACGAUGUGCAGCAGCAGGGAGGGGUAGGGGUCACCGGCGGUCGAAAAAGAUGAAGAACAGAGUCAUCUUGGUGGAGCUCGUCGGAAAACAUAAAGAAGGGUUAGGAAAACGAUCAUACGACCACGGAUUCAAAAUAAUAAUGAUAUGCCGGUGUAGAGGAUAACAAGACGAACCUCUAGAUGGCGACGGUUUUCGCAGGAGAUGUCCAAGAUGGCUGGAAAAGCUCGCCGAACCUUCGCCGGAAGUUCGUCGGAGCUUUAGGUUUCGAAACUUCGGCUUUAGAUCUAGAACGAUAGAAGUGGCGGCUCAGAAAACCGAUCGUACUUUCGGAACCAGCGCGUCAAGGGCUACGCCGGCAUAUAUAUAGUGUUAGGGUUUUGGGUUGAUCGAAAAACGAGAUAUUUUAUUAUUUUCGCAAUUAAUAAAUUUCGUGAAUAAAAAUAAUUCUAGAAAGUCCAGAAUUAAUAUUUAAGGUCCGAAAAAUACUCCGAAGGGUCCAAAAAUCAUGAGAAAAUUCUUAGAGAUAUUUUAGAACAUGAGGAACCCAAAUAAAGUAUUUAGAGCCCAUAAAAGAUAUCUAGGAGUAUCUAAAAAUUAGAUUAUGCUCACAGAAAAGUGGAACGAGUUUCAGGAAAAUGCGGAAAUAAUUCCCGGUAACUUUUUAGAGAUUGAUUGACGGGUGAGGAACUGAAAGGAGUGAUUUGGGUUACACAGAAAAGAUUUUGGGAAACUCGAAACGAAAGCAUAUGGUGUAAAACAAGGAAUAAAGAUGUGCCGAUCAAGGAGCAAAUUUUUUUUUUAUAUUUUCAUGAGCACUCAAAUACAAAACUAAAUCAAUUUUCAUCUAUUUUAAAAGGAGCAGAUUUUAGGGUGUUACAAUUCUACCCCACUUAACAGGAAUCUCGUCCCGAGAUUCGAUGAGACUAGAGAUAAUGAUAAAGGUGAUCAUCAAGGUUGCUUUUAGACUUUUGACAAGAUGAUUUAGGGAUUAAUGAUUAACAAAAGUUGACAAAGAUAUCAAAGAUUGUCUCUCAAGAUUAAUUCAGGAUUUAUGACAUGAGAUCAAAGGAUUGAAGAUCAGCAUAUGUGGAGGAGAAAUAUCAACAAAUGUUAAAAAGAUAGAUAAAAGUCGAUCACGGGGUCUUCACAUUAUGAGGUUUAAAGACAAGAAGUGAAGAUUAACAAGAGAUAAUAUGAAGAUAACGUACAUCUUAUAGUGCGCACAAUUCCUUGAUUUGAGAUUCAUGAGGUGAAAGAACUUGCAUGAUAAAAGGAAUUCAUAAGAUCUGGUGGGUUGCAAGUAAGAUAAGGAGCAAAGAUGAUCUACAGAAGAUGCUACCCCACUUAACAAGAGUUUUGCUUAACUUCAGAACUUUAACUUUAAGGUCCUCUUUGUUACAAGGGUGGAAACAACACACAAGCAACACAUCAAAGAAGACAAGCACACAACACAUCAUCGAUUCUACAUGUGUUUCUUCAACAAUGGUGGUCAUCCUAAAGGGCAGAUUAGAGAUGAUGAAAGGCCAUCGUGAAUUUGAAUAAGAUCAGAUGAGAAACUUUAGUAAAUCAAACACAUAAAAAGAAUCAAGGAGAUAAGAAGUAUUAGCUCAAAGGAAGCUACCAAGGAGGGGAUACAAUGAGACAAGGAUUGAGAAAUAAUCAAAAUCAAAGAGUCAAGGGAUAAGAAAAUAGUUUUGUUGCAAAUUAGACUUUUCUAAUCGACCAGUGCUACUAAGGCAUACGUCCUACAGUCAACACUGCUCUGAUACCACUCUGUCACACCCGGUUUUAAAGAACAAAACCAGGCUAGCUAUAUGUGUGCCCAGGAAGUCCACACAUACAACAACAAAAGCAAUAGUAUCAAAAACAAUGUUAUAUAUCGGAAACAUACUUAUAAUUAACACUUACAUCAGAGUAUCGCGGAACGGUAACUAUUCAGGCUCAAUCUUCACAGAGACGGUUGACUGGGGGUAACAUAUGCCUAGCACUUCUUGUAUUCUGAGAACGUCCUUCAUGAUUCCAUCGCUCUUCUGAUCAACUCUUACUAGUAAACUGGAGUGGUGGGAAAUAGCAAGAGUGAGCACAUAUCGUACUCAACAAGUAUAACCAGGGGUUCAUGAGGCUCAAAUAGCUGACACUGGUUUGACUGCAUUUAGCUUUUAAUGGUGGAUAGCAUAUUCAUAAUUAAAUAGCAAAUGUCAAGGUAGCAUAAAUAAUUGAUUAAUCACAUGAUCAAGUGUAAGCAUAAUUAAUCUCAUAGCAUAAACGAUAAUCAAAUGAACAUAACAACUUAACAAGCUCAUCGUCGUCGCAGCAAGAACCCCCAAGGCCGCUCUUAACCGUGAGCACGGCUAGUAUACUAGUUUUAACACUCUGCAGAGGUUGUACAUCUUUACCCAUGAGUCAUGAUUUACCCUUUCGCCCGAGGUGAUCAGCCUCUUAACCCACUUCCAAGGAAGGUCGGCAGGGAUCACUAUGAAGCCUUUCAAAAGUUCGUCUAACAUGUUAGGGCCGCAAGGUUUCCUUUGCGAGCAGAUAUAGAUACCCCCCUUCCGAAUGGCACAAUGACGCGCAGCCUAUACACAUAGGGACAGGGGCUCGCACUAUACCCGUGUCGGUUCAGCCCCUCCGCCCUUUCGGGUAACCUCUAACAAGCUAGAAAAGGUCUUCAUACUGAGCUAAAGCCAGAGCCAUUAUAGCCCUCAUGGUUGCACUGUUGUCCCGGUGAUCACUUACAGACAAGAUCUCAUACAGUUAUUUGUCAUUCUUUUAUGUUCAUUGCAUAGCUAUUAAUCAUCUUACAAGAUCAUGGAUCAUAUCAGGCACUAGCACAUCUACAACAAAUGCAUAUCAAGUAGGUAGCAAGGAAUCCAGGUAACAAUCAUCUAUGAUUUUGCUAAGGUCGACAAGGUGAAAGCAUGCAUAUGAUAUAUAUGUGUAUUUAUAAGUGAAUAGGUAACAAGGAUGAUCCCAAGUUAUACUUGCCUUAAGCACUUGCUCAAUUCUCACACCAACAGCUUUUGGUCAUCAUCUUCUCAUCUUCAACGUCCACAAACAGUUCUCGUCUACUCGUAUCAAGCACCACACAUAGGCAAACAUACAAACAACAAUAGAACAACUAAGAACAGUACACCACACAAGAGAAAAGAGUGUACUAAUAAAUGAUCAGCACUACAAGAUCGCAAGAACCACCGAAACCGAACCUAUCGUUAAAAGAAAUGACUAACGAUAGUUUUAUAUUAUAAAAGAGAAGCUUACAUAUUUAAUUUAUUUAACUAUUUAAGUAAACAAAAUAAUAUAAAAGUUAUUAAUUCAGAUUAAUGUUAACAUAAAUUAUUUUUAAAAGUCAAGUUAAAACUAAUCAUGUUUUAUUUAUAAAUAUUUAGAUAUCAUUUAUGCCAAAUCCACACUAACAUGUAAAUACAAACUGACAUAUGAGAGCAUCUAAAAUCUAAUCAAAUUUAACAUACAUGUUUGGACUAAAUAAAUUAUAAUUUAGAAACAUGAUUAUGUAUACCAUUUAAUCAGCUUAACAUUUAUAUAUGAAAUACAUAAAUAUAAAACCUACUGAUUUUUUACUUAUAAAACUAGAUGCAAGUGUAUUAAUCACUUUAGUAUUUAACUAUGUAUAGAAAGCAUGUGGUAAAUAAACUAAAGCACUUAUGUUUUAAGUUUGAAUUAAACAACUUAUAAUUCAAAAGACACCAAAGUUGAUAUUAAUUAAAUUAAUAUUAAUUUAUAUAAAAAAAACCUAUACACAAAUCCGUGUUGCUUUUAAUUUGAAACUUAAUUGCAUAAGCAUAAAUUAAAUUAAUAUUUAACUUAUAACAUUCGAUGAUGUGAGACAUGUUAAACAUCGCCACUAACACGUAGCUUAUGGUCGGCACGGUCGUGGUGCGACAAGAACGAAUUUACGACCCUAGGUUGGUUUUAAUUAAAAAGCUAUUAAAUAAAUACUAAACAAAUUGUAUUUUUAAAUUAAUAAAUUCAGAAUUGGGACACAUCAUAAACAUUGGUACUACUACAACGUUAUGAAAAUAACGCAACUUGAAUGAACCGAAUUAGAUUUAAGAUGAUUAAAUUGUAGAAAUUACGGAUGAGUGGUGAUUCUGUAAAUACCUCAUCUUCUAUCUUGUGCCUGUACGGAUCGUAACCUCCAUGGCCAUGGCGUUCACUGUGUACGUGAGUGGUAGGAGGCUCGCCUUGCCUCCUGGCCAUGGAAAGACGCCAAGGUGGGAGCUCACCAGCUGACCAAGAGGCCCAAGGUGACCAGUGAUGCGCAGCCCCGCACAUGGGGCACGAUGAGGCCACGUCGGAGCAGCUGGCCGGAGAUAGCCUUGCCGGCCAGACUGGGACCAGUAGCGCAAGGGGUCACGAGACUUAAGUUGGGGCGCACGUCCCAAGGGUGGCACGA